rnacentral:rRNA from 1 species
UACAGAGGUCUCAAGCGUUGCUCGGAUUCAUUGGGCGUAAAGGGUGCGUAGGUGGCGUGGUAAGUCGGGUGUGAAAUUUCGGAGCUUAACUCCGAAACUGCAUUCGAUACUGCCGUGCUUGAGGACUGGAGAGGAGACUGGAAUUUACGGUGUAGCAGUGAAAUGCGUAGAGAUCGUAAGGAAGACCAGUGGCGAAGGCGGGUCUCUGGACAGUUCCUGACACUGAGGCACGAAGGCCAGGGGAGCAAACGGG